AUAGAACGCUGGCGGCAGGCUUAACACAUGCAAGUCGAGCGGUAACAGAGAGAAGCUUGCUUCUCUGCUGACGAGCGGCGGACGGGUGAGUAAUGCCUAGGAAUCUGCCUAGUAGUGGGGGAUAACUUGCCGAAAGGUAAGCUAAUACCGCAUACGUCCUACGGGAGAAAGGAGGGGACCUUCGGGCCUUUCGCUAUUAGAUGAGCCUAGGUCGGAUUAGUUAGUUGGUGAGGUAAUGGCCCACCAAGACCGCGAUCCGUAACUGGUCUGAGAGGAUGAUCAGUCACACUGGAACUGGGACACGGUCCAGACUCCUACGGGAGGCAGCAGUGGGGAAUAUUGGACAAUGGGGGGAACCCUGAUCCAGCCAUGCCGCGUGUGUGAAGAAGGUCUUAGGAUUGUAAAGCACUUUAAGUUGGGAGGAAGAGCAGUUAACUAAUAUUUGACUGUUUUGACGUUACCGACAGAAUAAGCACCGGCUAACUUCGUGCCAGCAGCCGCCGUAA
rnacentral:rRNA from 1 species